UGCCCAUUCUCUCUCUCUCUCUCUCUCUCUCUCUCCCCUCAUUGUUGCCCAAUUUGGAGCUACCUGCAGCUACAUUCUUCCCUUUUCAGUCUCCAAGCUGAGCAGUGAGCUCCAAAAAUGGCAGCCACUAGCUUCCCCUACUUCUCUGCAAUUUUCCUUUCAAUUCUCAUCAUUUCAGGGUUCAUGGUUCCAGUAACGGUAAAUUCAAUGGGGAUAAACUACGGCCAAAUCGCCAACAACUUACCUUCUCCCGACGACGUCGUUCCGCUGGUGAAAUCCAUCGGCAUCUCCAAGAUCAAGCUCUACGACGCUGAUCCCAAAGUCCUCAAAGCCUUCGCCAACACCGGCGUCGAGUUCAUAGUGGGCCUCCCCAACGACUACCUUGCCAAGGUCCAGGACCCGGCCCAGGCCCAAUCCUGGGUCAAGUCCAAUGUCCAGGCCCAUCUCCCCGCCACCAACAUCACCUGCAUCUUCGUCGGCAACGAGGUCCUCACCUUCAACGACACGUCGUUGAGCAACAAUCUCCUCCCGGCAAUGCAGAGCGUCCACACCGCCCUCGUCGGUCUUGGCCUCGACAAGCAAGUCGCCGUCACCACCGCCCACUCCCUCUCCAUUCUCCAGACCUCGUAUCCGCCGUCCGCCGGCGCUUUCCGCCGAGAUCUGACCGGCUGCAUCACUCCGAUCCUCAAUUUCCACGCCAAAACCGGAUCGCCGUUCCUGAUCAAUGCCUACCCUUACUUCGCUUACAAAUCGAACCCUAAGCAAGUGCCGCUCGAGUACGUCCUCUUCCAGCCGAACUCCGGCUCCCUUGAUCCUGCCACCAAUCUCCACUACGACAACAUGCUGUUCGCCCAGAUCGACGCCGUGUACUCCGCCCUGGGUUCCCUCGGUUUCAAGAAGCUUCCGGUCCACAUCUCCGAGACCGGGUGGCCGUCGAAGGGGGACGAGGACGAGGCCGGAGCGACGCCGGAGAACGCGAAGAAGUACAACGGAAAUCUGAUCAAGCUCAUUUGCCAGAAGAAGGGCACGCCGCUCAGGCCCGGGUCGGAUCUCAACAUCUACGUGUUCGCCCUGUUCAAUGAGAACAUGAAACCCGGCCCGAGUUCAGAGAGGAACUUCGGGCUGUUUAAACCCGACGGGUCGCCCGCGUACUCGAUCGGGCUCUCGACGGGCAACAUUUCCUUUGGUAACUCUAAUUCGAGUUCGAGUUCGGGUUCGGGUUCGAGUUCGGGCCAGGGACAGGUAAAUCCGAUUAGUAAUGGUUGGUCGCCGUCGGGUUCUUCCGGCACGCCAUACUUGUCCAUUUCCUCCGCCCCCGCCACGGAGAGAUUCCAUGUGAUUGGUUGGAUUGCGAUGAUGUGGCUGGUGGCCUCGUUGUUGAUGAAAAGCUGAGAGCAAAAUAUCCAAAGUUGCUCCAGAUCAGAUCUCAAAAUCUGAAAGGACGGUGGAAAAGAGAGAAAAUAAAUAGAAGAGGUUACUUGGGAAUUAGGAACAAGGACAAUUAUUAUUUAUUUAUAAUUCAGUGUCUUAAUAACAACUCUAGUGGAUUAGGGUAGGAGGGUGAUUAGGGUUUAAUUAAAGUUUAAUGAUGGUGCUGAGGAGCGUUUUAGAAGGCAGAGGCUAGAGGGGAGGGGGCCCCACUUUUGUAUUUGUUCUUGUAAAAUAUUUUACCUUUCUCAUGUACUUAAAGAGUAUUUUUAUUACUGUA